rnacentral:rRNA from 1 species
AGCGAACGCUGGCGGCAGGCCUAACACAUGCAAGUCGAACGGACCCUUCGGGGUUAGUGGCGGACGGGUGAGUAACACGUGGGAACGUGCCUUUAGGUUCGGAAUAGCUCCUGGAAACGGGUGGUAAUGCCGAAUGUGCCCUUCGGGGGAACGAUUUAUCGCCUUUAGAGCGGCCCGCGUCGGAUUAGCUAGUUGGUGAGGUAACGGCUCACCAAGGCGACGAUCAGUAGCUGGGCUGAGAGGAUGACCAGCCACACUGGGACUGAGACACGGCGCAGACUCCUACGGGAGGCAGCAGUGGGGAAUCUUGCGCAAUGGGCGAAAGCCUGACGCAGCCAUGCCGCGUGAAUGAUGAAGGUCUUAGGAUUGUAAAAUUCUUUCACCGGGGACGAUAAUGACGGUACCCGGAGAAGAAGCCCCGGCUAACUUCGUGCCAGCCGCCGCGGUAA